GUGCCAGCCGCCGCGGUAAUUCCAGCUCUGCGAGUUUGCUCCCAUAUUGUUGCAGUUAAAACGCCCGUAGUCUGAAUUGGCCUCUUAGGCCGUAUGUUUUAACGUUCACUGUGAACAAAUCAGGACGCUUAGAGUAUGGUUCAGGAAUGACUCAGCGCAGUAUGAAGUUUUUGUUCUUCUUUAGAACAAGCUCAAUGAGAGCCAUCGGGGGUAGAUCUAUUUCAUGGCGAGUGGUGGAAUACGGUGACCCAUGAGAGAGACACUAAGGCGAAGGCAUCUACCUAGAGGGUUUCUGUCGAUCAAGGGCGAGAGUAGGAGUAUCCAACCGG
rnacentral:rRNA from 1 species